GGGUUGUGAGGUUAAGCGACUAAGCGUACACGGUGGAUGCCCUGGCAGUCAGAGGCGAUGAAGGACGUGCUAAUCUGCGAUAAGCGUCGGUAAGGUGAUAUGAACCGUUAUAACCGGCGAUUUCCGAAUGGGGAAACCCAGUGUGUUUCGACACACUAUCAUUAACUGAAUCCAUAGGUUAAUGAGGCGAACCGGGGGAACUGAAACAUCUAAGUACCCCGAGGAAAAGAAAUCAACCGAGAUUCCCCCAGUAGCGGCGAGCGAACGGGGAGGAGCCCAGAGUCUGAAUCAGUGUGUGUGUUAGUGGAAGCGUCUGGAAAGGCGCGCGAUACAGGGUGACAGCCCCGUACACAAAAAUGCACAUACUGUGAGCUCGAUGAGUAGGGCGGGACACGUGGUAUCCUGUCUGAAUAUGGGGGGACCAUCCUCCAAGGCUAAAUACUCCUGACUGACCGAUAGUGAACCAGUACCGUGAGGGAAAGGCGAAAAGAACCCCGGCGAGGGGAGUGAAAAAGAACCUGAAACCGUGUACGUACAAGCAGUGGGAGCCUCUUUUAUGGGGUGACUGCGUACCUUUUGUAUAAUGGGUCAGCGACUUAUAUUCUGUAGCAAGGUUAACCGAAUAGGGGAGCCGAAGGGAAACCGAGUCUUAACUGGGCGUUAAGUUGCAGGGUAUAGACCCGAAACCCGGUGAUCUAGCCAUGGGCAGGUUGAAGGUUGGGUAACACUAACUGGAGGACCGAACCGACUAAUGUUGAAAAAUUAGCGGAUGACUUGUGGCUGGGGGUGAAAGGCCAAUCAAACCGGGAGAUAGCUGGUUCUCCCCGAAAGCUAUUUAGGUAGCGCCUCGUGAAUUCAUCUCCGGGGGUAGAGCACUGUUUCGGCAAGGGGGUCAUCCCGACUUACCAACCCGAUGCAAACUGCGAAUACCGGAGAAUGUUAUCACGGGAGACACACGGCGGGUGCUAACGUCCGUCGUGAAGAGGGAAACAACCCAGACCGCCAGCUAAGGUCCCAAAGUCAUGGUUAAGUGGGAAACGAUGUGGGAAGGCCCAGACAGCCAGGAUGUUGGCUUAGAAGCAGCCAUCAUUUAAAGAAAGCGUAAUAGCUCACUGGUCGAGUCGGCCUGCGCGGAAGAUGUAACGGGGCUAAACCAUGCACCGAAGCUGCGGCAGCGACGCUUAUGCGUUGUUGGGUAGGGGAGCGUUCUGUAAGCCUGUGAAGGUGUGCUGUGAGGCAUGCUGGAGGUAUCAGAAGUGCGAAUGCUGACAUAAGUAACGAUAAAGCGGGUGAAAAGCCCGCUCGCCGGAAGACCAAGGGUUCCUGUCCAACGUUAAUCGGGGCAGGGUGAGUCGACCCCUAAGGCGAGGCCGAAAGGCGUAGUCGAUGGGAAACAGGUUAAUAUUCCUGUACUUGGUGUUACUGCGAAGGGGGGACGGAGAAGGCUAUGUUGGCCGGGCGACGGUUGUCCCGGUUUAAGCGUGUAGGCUGGUUUUCCAGGCAAAUCCGGAAAAUCAAGGCUGAGGCGUGAUGACGAGGCACUACGGUGCUGAAGCAACAAAUGCCCUGCUUCCAGGAAAAGCCUCUAAGCAUCAGGUAACAUCAAAUCGUACCCCAAACCGACACAGGUGGUCAGGUAGAGAAUACCAAGGCGCUUGAGAGAACUCGGGUGAAGGAACUAGGCAAAAUGGUGCCGUAACUUCGGGAGAAGGCACGCUGAUAUGUAGGUGAAGUCCCUUGCGGAUGGAGCUGAAAUCAGUCGAAGAUACCAGCUGGCUGCAACUGUUUAUUAAAAACACAGCACUGUGCAAACACGAAAGUGGACGUAUACGGUGUGACGCCUGCCCGGUGCCGGAAGGUUAAUUGAUGGGGUCAGCGCAAGCGAAGCUCUUGAUCGAAGCCCCGGUAAACGGCGGCCGUAACUAUAACGGUCCUAAGGUAGCGAAAUUCCUUGUCGGGUAAGUUCCGACCUGCACGAAUGGCGUAAUGAUGGCCAGGCUGUCUCCACCCGAGACUCAGUGAAAUUGAACUCGCUGUGAAGAUGCAGUGUACCCGCGGCAAGACGGAAAGACCCCGUGAACCUUUACUAUAGCUUGACACUGAACAUUGAGCCUUGAUGUGUAGGAUAGGUGGGAGGCUUAGAAGUGUGGACGCCAGUCUGCAUGGAGCCGACCUUGAAAUACCACCCUUUAAUGUUUGAUGUUCUAACGUUGACCCGUAAUCCGGGUUGCGGACAGUGUCUGGUGGGUAGUUUGACUGGGGCGGUCUCCUCCUAAAGAGUAACGGAGGAGCACGAAGGUUGGCUAAUCCUGGUCGGACAUCAGGAGGUUAGUGCAAUGGCAUAAGCCAGCUUGACUGCGAGCGUGACGGCGCGAGCAGGUGCGAAAGCAGGUCAUAGUGAUCCGGUGGUUCUGAAUGGAAGGGCCAUCGCUCAACGGAUAAAAGGUACUCCGGGGAUAACAGGCUGAUACCGCCCAAGAGUUCAUAUCGACGGCGGUGUUUGGCACCUCGAUGUCGGCUCAUCACAUCCUGGGGCUGAAGUAGGUCCCAAGGGUAUGGCUGUUCGCCAUUUAAAGUGGUACGCGAGCUGGGUUUAGAACGUCGUGAGACAGUUCGGUCCCUAUCUGCCGUGGGCGCUGGAGAACUGAGGGGGGCUGCUCCUAGUACGAGAGGACCGGAGUGGACGCAUCACUGGUGUUCGGGUUGUCAUGCCAAUGGCACUGCCCGGUAGCUAAAUGCGGAAGAGAUAAGUGCUGAAAGCAUCUAAGCACGAAACUUGCCCCGAGAUGAGUUCUCCCUGACUCCUUGAGAGUCCUGAAGGAACGUUGAAGACGACGACGUUGAUAGGCCGGGUGUGUAAGCGCAGCGAUGCGUUGAGCUAACCGGUACUAAUGAACCGUGAGGCUUAACCUUACAACGCCGAAGCUGUU
rnacentral:rRNA from 1 species